rnacentral:lncRNA from 1 species
CAAAACUUCUCCAGAAUAACUUCAAUCUAAAACAUAUCAAGUUUAAAACAAAAUUAUUAUGGCAGUGCCAUUUUGAAUAAAAUUAGUUUUAAUCUAUUGGCUAAAAAAAUGUGUGAAAGAGCCAACAGUCUCUAGUUCGUAGCUUUGUCCAUUCCACUUCUCCGCACUCCUUUCAACGGUGACCUCAUCACGUUCUGUGCAGCCAACAGGAGAUGGCAGCAUUGCUUCAGCCAUUGGAAAGACCCUGCGCCCGAUCCCUUCUUCAAAGAGAAGGCUGGGAGCUGGUGGGGAGCAGAGUUACAGCAGCAGAAAAUGUAACCAGCUAUUUGAAGAGUACCUGGAAAAUCAACAUUUAAUGGAUUUAUGAAAAAAGAGGAGAAAAUGAAGAUCUAAAUAGGCAAGUUUUCUUGCUACCUAUGUUCGGUCUUUACCCUGGUUAAAAAGGAAAAGAUUCAAUAGAUUAUGUUAAAUUGGAGAGUUGCGUUCCAGCCUUUCCUUUGGUUUUAAAAUUCUGUAUUCUUAGAAAUCUUGUUCAGGAGCUAUUUCCCAAAACCCUACCUUUAAAAUAUGGAUUUCUAUUGCUCAUUUUCAUUAACCUUUGAGCUUUAAUUUUCUCAUGCAUGCAUAUGAUAUGCUUGGGCAAUGGUUACUUUUUUAUUUUUUAUUUUUCUAUUUUGAGAAAGCAACCCCUCCAUAAUGGCAUAAGUUUGACUUGUGUGUACUAACCAGAACAUUUUAUUAAUAUGCUAACUCUUUUUCCAUUAAAAUCCUAAGUUAAUGAAUACAUAAAUACAACUAUUAUGGGUUCCCCAGAGACCCAAAGGUGAACGUGAAAUGUAGUCUACCAAUUGGCAGCUUAUAUCACUGCCUGGGUUACUGUAUCAGAAAUAAUGAAAACCAUAGAUGUUUAAUCAUAAUGCAGUCAGAGGUUUACGCUGGCCUCCUAAACAGAAGGAAGGAAGAUCUGAUUUUAAAUGCUGUUUCACCUUUCUUUUUCAAUAUGCUGGAUCUCCUCACUAAAUUGUGAACAAAGACGCUGGUAUUAAUUUUCAUCCCUUUUGACAUACUAAGGACUUUAAAGUGGGAUUUGACAGAGAGUUUUGGUGUGUUUGUAGGGCCAACCGCCGGGCAUCAGAUUGGUUAGUAAAGGUUGUUAUGGUGUGCGUACCAAUCCAUUUGGAAAGCAUUAACUCAGAGAGGGGAAUGCAAUGGCUUAAAUAUAUAUAUGUAUAUAUAGUGUUGUUCAGCCCACACCCACGGAGGGUAUGAAUCCUAGCUCUGCCAGUUAGUGAUUGUGAGACCCUAGAGAAGUCAUUUAGCUUAUAUAAAUUACAAUUCUUUUUCUCUAAAAUAGGAAUACUAAUACUGUCUUAGAGGUUUUUUUGUGGAGAUUAACUGAGAUAAUAUGUCUAAAGUGCUCAGCCCAGUGUCCAGAACAUAAAUCGUAGUGGUUAUUAUGAUCAUGAUGCAGAAUUAUCACAGUAGAUUUAAAUAUGUAUAAAUAUAUAAAAUACAGAUUACUUUUUCUUUGCAAAGCUCGAACCUUUAUAAAGAUAGUUUUAAGAUCUGUUAAAAACUCGGAUAUCCUCCAAGGAAUAGCUUAUAACUUUUAGUUACAUGGUGCUUGAGACAGUAUAUUUGUGUAACCUUCUCAGAAAAGUUUUAUAAAUGGCUUUCAUAGGCCAUAGACUUUAUUAGGGUCCCAGUCCUGAGGGUUUCAUAGAAGCUGUUCUAAAGAUUCUUUAGAAAGAUUGUAGGAAACUGUUCUGCCCAAUGGGAGUUUACGUCUGUUCAGACGCCUGCUCUUGGCUUCAGCUCUCGACUGUGGCUUUGUGCCUCCACAGACAGCAUGCACGUUAACAGCAUUGGCUGUAGACGUUUAGAGUCGUUACUCUGAACAGCAUUUCCCAAACAGGACAUUCAGUUUUGCACACCACUUACAUACUGGAAGUUUAACACAAUGUGUUACUUUUUGUUUCUGUAGAAAUUUUUGUCAUCUAAGGAAAUAAAUGAGUUUAAAUAUUUCCAAAACUAGGCCUUCUGCCUAGAAAACUCUUUCAGAUUUGAUCUUUUGUAUUUUCUUUCAACUACACUUUAGGUUUGUGAACAGAGGUCAGAUUAUCUUGUCCCUCAUCCUGCAUUCUUCUCCGCCAGUCCCUGCUCACCCCCUCCAGCCCCUCAUUUGCACUGUCUGUACCAGCUUAUAGAUUGCAUACCUGAUUAAGAACUUCUUGAAGGUAGGGAACAUUCUCUUUAUAUGCUUUCUCCAAUGCCUAAUAGGAUGUUUUGUUCAAAAGGUGCUUAAAAAAAUGAGGACAUGAAUAUAACUGUGGUCGUGUUGUGUAUAUUCGGAUGCAGGCACUGUCAACUAUGAUGAGGCUAAAGUGGAGGCUUUUUAUUCUCGAAGGAUGACAGUUGAAUACUAUGACAGGGAUCACGUAUGCUACACAUUGAACAAAAACAGUCUUUUUCCCAUUAUAAUUUAGGCUAAUCUAUGAAAGAAUUAAAUAAUACAGAAAGCUAGUUUACUUCAGUAUGUUGAUAACAAGUUACUACAAGGGGUGAAAUAGGCUGAAAAGAGUAAGCUUGGAUAAAUGUAGAGGCAAGAUGUAGAAUGGAUAGUCAAGGGAAGCUGCAUGUUUUGAGUAAAUCUCUGAACUUUGAAGCUAAUGUGAGUAGCUGCCGUCUUGGCGUCUUUGCCUUGAUUGAGCCAUUCUAUUGGACUGGCAGGGCCCUGAUCUUGACAGUAGGGCAGUUCUCAUGCUCACAGAGAGUGUAAUGUAUCAGUUUUAAUUUUGUAAUUAUUUUAUCUUUGUUCCCAGCACCCUUCAUCAUCCUCACCUAGCAAAACCCCAACCUGGUUAGUACAAUACUUCUCCUGGUCCAUUCCUGCAUGCACACAGCUGAGUACCAUUGCAGAAAAGCAUGCAACCAGACCAACUGGCUUCAUGUUGACUAUAUAGGAUGCAGGUAGGAGGUUAGAAGUCGUGGUGGCCAAUUGAUGUUCCUUUCUGAUUGUGUCUACUUUCUUUCAGUGAGAUAAGGAAAUGAGGUCACCAACCAGGAUCAGGAUGAGGAAGGAGGUGAUGGAGAUUUGAGGUGAGAGGAGACAUCCAGGAGAGUGACGGAGUGAAUGGGCAAAGCAUGUGAUGCCAUCUCCCCUUCAGCUGUUGUCCACAUUUCUCAAUUCCCAUUUACAGCAAAACUCCCCCAAAGAGUGAUUAUACUCCCUGCCUUCAGUUCUACUUCCUGCUCAUCUUGAAACCACUCUAAUCAAGUAUUCACUCAAAAUGCCUCUGAAACUAUUGUCAAGGUCACUGGUGAAUUACAUGUUAUUAAAUUUAACAGUCAAUUUUCAGUCCUUAACUUUCUCGACUUAUCAGUGGCAUUUGAUAGUGGAUUGCUCCCUUCCCUGUGAAAAAAUUUCUUUGCUUGUCUUCUGUUUUGCGGCUGCUUGCCUACUUCCUCCUUCUCUGUCUACGGUACCAAUUCUUCAUCCUCUCUCUGACUUAAAUAUUGGAGAACUCAGGUUUCAUUCCCUGGAGCUUGUCUCUAACCACACUCGCUCUGUUGGUGGUCUCAUCCACAUAUAUGUGGAAGGCUUCCAAAUUUAUAUCUCCAUCACAGACCUUUCCCCUGAACUCCAAGUGCAUAGACCCAACUGCUCACUUGACAUCUGCACUUGAAUGUCUAACAGGCUUCUCUAACCAAACUUCUAAUCUUUCCUCCAAAAAACUCACUCCACUCCUGAUUCCUCCCCAUUGCAGGAAAUGAUAACUCUACGCUCUUAGUUGCUCAGGCUAAAAAUUUGGGAGUCAUCCUUGCCUCUUCCCUUUCUCUUAUAUUACACAUUCAACUCUGUAAGCAAAUCCUGUUGUUUCUACCUUCAAGAUAGAGUCAAUGUCUGAUGGUCUCUUACCACCUUGUUGCUUCCAUUCUGGUCUAAGUUGCUGUCAUCUCCCACCUGGAUGGCUGCAGCAGCCCUGUAACCAGUGUCCCUGUGACGUCAGCAGUCUUUUCUCCCAAGCAGCAGCCACAGGGAGGUCAGGGAGGACUUCCUGAAGAAGUAAUUCUCGAACCAAGAUAGGGAAGAAGAGGAGGAGAAGCUGAAUACGCCAAGAGGAGAGAAGAUCCUUCCAGGCAAAGGGAAAUACACCUUCCUGUGGGUGGAAGCGUGGUGAGAGCAAGGGACUAAGGAAGGCCUCAUUCCCUUGUAUCGGACACCUCCCUGAUGGCUGACAUGAGGGCCACCAGGAACGCAGGCUCAGUUCAACACACUGAUGACCGUGAAGUUACUGUGUUAGUCUUUCUGGUCCCAAGUUCAGAAAUUCCAGGGAAAGACUUUGAUGAACCCUCUUGGGUCAGGGGACUAGUUGGAGGGGUGGAGCAGCAUGCCUGGGCCAGCUUGGGUCACUUCCUCACCCUGAGACAAAUCCCUGUGGCCAGAGAGGUGAGAUCUCUAAAAAGAUGGCAGCUACCUCCAAAUCCCCCUUCAAACGUGGAGAGGCACAUUUCCCCCGGAGAACAUGAGGAUGCUCCACUGACUAGACAAGGCACUAGAUGCCCACUGUAGUGACUGAGCAGGAGGGGCUUUUUGUGGUCCAAGAAUUAAGAGGUUGGAGACAUAGUGUUCGGAGAAGCAAGAUGACACCACGUUGGAACUUUGGGAAGAAAAAACCUUAGGAAAAACUUCCUGUAUCAGGAAGUGGCAAGUAAACUGUGAGUAGUGAUAUUUUAGUCAGUUUUAAGUUGAAUAAAUGCCCUGUGCGGUUCCCAGGGAAAGCUGUUGCCUGUGAAAGCUUUGUGUUAAUGGGGCCUGAUCCAAUUAACAAGACGGGCCGUGUCCUCUUCAAGGAGAAGAAGUUUAAUAGAAGAUAGAAACCUGCAGGAGCAGUUGUUCCAUGAUGGAUGGUGACUGCCAACUGAACUGGGAGUUAUAGUUUUUCAGAAAGAAAAAAAGAAGGAAGGUGAUAGGUGAGCAUCAGGAAAAUGCUAGCACCAUUUUCCUUUCCGAUCUCAGCAUCAUCUCGCACUGGUGCUCAGUCCUUCCUAUUUGUCUCUCUACAUCCAUUUUACACCAUCAUCCCAGUUUGUGGAGAGACUGACCUGAAUGAACUGUGUUCAUGAGCAUCCUUGUGUGCUACCCAUGAGAUGACCAGCAGCGUGGGGAGGAGGUGAGGCAGGGUGUUUAGUCCGGGGCUCCCUGUUGGUUCACCCUGGUCCUGUAGAACGACAGGGCAGCAUCUGCUCUCUCCAGGGGUAGUGACAGCUUUCUGCUAUUGUUGGUCCUGAGAUCCUCCUCCAUUCCUUACUUCUCCAAACUCUGCUCACUCUUUUUGUGAACAAUCCCCUUGUUAAACUCUAUUCAAUUUCCCAGUCUGAGUGCACAAUUUAUUUCCUGCUGGGACUCAGGCUGAUAUAAGGACGUGGGGUAUUCUAACUGAACAAUUUUAGGGAGCUAAAGAAGAUAGGGGUGAUUGCAGACUGUUUUGUGGAGUUUGUGUAGAGGCACAAAGACAAAUCUGAGGAGACUGAAGUUAUACCGCAAAACGCCCCACAGAGAACACGCACUCACUGAAACCAGAUGUCUGCAACAGUCAGAGAAGGAAGCAGCCUGAUGCCAAAUGGUCCACAUCCAGGUGAUCAUCACAAAGGUAGAAACAUGAAUUAGAAUACAUUUUGGAGAAGUUUGCAAACGGAUGAUGCCCUUUCUGCAUUAUUGAACUCUAGCCAGUCAAAGGUUCACAGAAAGGUGAUGAUAAUAAUGCACUUUUUCUCUAUUUCUUUGGCGUGUACACCCUCCAGCUUUAAUGUCUCCUUUGUUGUAACAUUUAUUUGGCAUGUCCUGUGAUCCUUGCAUGAUAUUGAUCUAUAAAAUUGGAUGAACAAACAGGCCACCAGUUCACCUGUAUCGAAAUAGCUCUAAAGGGGAAGACAUCUGGGUGGAUAGAUGAGACGGCACUUACGCAGCCAGAGGAACCCAAAAUAAACAGAAGGAAAAAAAAUAAACCUGAGAUGCCGCAGAAUUCGGGAAGCAAUUUAUAUACUAACUCUAUGACGGUGGAGGAACUUUCAGGAGAAAAAGUCUGACAUUAACCUACGAUGGAGACAGCAGGCUGCACUCAGUGAUCGGUAGGCACAGUUUUUGAAAUGAGUGUGCGUUGCACUUGCACUUGCAUUUGUGAGUGUGCACAAUGCUCAUAGAUAGAAGAGAAAGAGCAAGUUAUGGUUCCUUGUUAUGAUCUUAGCUUAGUGCAUCACCUGACAAAGGGCUUUGCAUAUUGAAAAUGUAAGCAUUAGUUGAACAAAUGAACAGAAAUGUCUGCUGAAAAAUGAGCACAAACCACCAGCAUGUUAAUAAAUGAACACUUUUGUUCUCAGUGUAAUGUUCUGCUUGUUUAACUGAUUGUUGUUUUGAUUGCAAUCUCUUCACUGACGAUAGUAUUGAUAAACCUAUCAAAGAGAUAUAUUGAGUGUCUGUUUACUGAAAGUAAAUUGCUGGGAUUUCAAACACCUUUUGGAUCUACUCCUAAAGGAGUUAUAAAACAUCUCUUAAUUUGUUAAUCAUUAAUAUUUGGCCCCUGUGACUUGUGUGUGUAAAUAUACACAGUAGAUGCUCAUUUUGUCAAGUUGUUUCUGACUCAGAUGCUGUGUUUCCUUGGCCACUUCUAACCUGAGCAAAAGUGUGGGUGACAGAGUAGUGAAAAUCCAGAGUCUCCAUCACGAGUCUCCAUCACAUGAACAAGUAGAAGAUGUGUCCCCACAUGGAGGCUUACUGCCAUCGUCUUUAUGUAUUUAUGAAUUUGCAUAGUAACGAAUGCCCUUUUAGGUUGAAUUAUUAGAAUUUUAUCAAUGCCUCGAUCGUUACUUCAAAAACUAAUUUUGUGCCAUCUGUGUUCAUUGGAUGAGAGGAAAAAGGAGAAAAUAUAUUUCAUAUGUCAGACUCCUACAUAAAUGUAGGUGCAGCUUUGACUUGAGAUGCAACACUGGGCUGCUAUGGAAUUUUUACAUGCUGUGUAAUAAAAGUCUGCAAUCUGAUACCUCACACAUCUCCAUUAACCUCCGACAUUGAAUUUGUUCGAUUCUGAUUGUUUUUUCAUUGAUACAAGUGUUUGGUGAGGAAUUAGGAGCUUUCCUUCACAAAUGUUUUGUUUGAUUUACAGCAUUUUGGGCUGUGAUAUUCCUGGUUAGAAUACUUUACUGUUGAAUUCUUUAAAAAAAAAAAUCAGUGGAACUCCCAGAGGAUAAUGUGCAUCAGUUCUAUGUUAAAUUCUUUGUUCAGACUUAUUAUUUCAGCCUCCAAAAUGUGUUUUCACUAACAUAAUAGCGUGAUAAAUGCAAAAAGUGUGUGCGCAGCUUUAAACAUUUGGAAAUGCUUCUAAAGGUCGCUUUUCUACUGGGCAGCUUACUUUUUCUAUAAAGCUGUUUCUGUUCCAUACCCUACUGUCCCAAGGUUUCCAAAAGUUGAACAUGAACUCUGGAGGAAUUCUCCUUUGGACUUAAAAACUGGAGUUGCCUGGCAGACAGUUUUUAUUCUUGUCUGACUGAGUUCCCCAGCUUUCUCCCUUCUUGUGUCCUUGGACAUCAGUUUCACUUGUUUUCCUUUGAAUGGGUCAGAGUGGUUUCUCAACUUACAGUACAUAAACCUCCCAGCUAAGUGUCAUGUUCGUCCUGGACUGUCCAUGCUGCUCCACUCUCCUGUUUAACCUUCCUCAUCACCUCCUCUCCUCCAGCACUUAGUAGACAUGAACCAUCAAAAUUCAAUGCCACCACCAAAACAGCCUACAUCACGAAGACAGUCUACCCCUUUACACCCGUAUCUGCUCUUCCCGAGCUGGCAGCCAGUAGCCACAUGUGGCUGUUCAGCACCUGCCGUGGAGCUAGUCCAAAUUGAGAUGGGCUGUAAGUGUGAAGCAUGUACCAGAUUUCCAAGACUUAGUGCAAAUAAAAAGGAUGUAAACAUCUUAUUAAUAAUUUUUACAUUGAUUACAUGUUGAAAUGGUGAUAUUUUAAGCUUGUUGGUUUAAAUAUAAUGUUUCAUUAAGAAAUUAAAAU